rnacentral:lncRNA from 1 species
AGUGACUUCUAAUGCAUGCCAAAUAUCAUAUGCAGAGUCACAUGUGCUAAUGCGAUUGAAUUCAUUUUUGUCUAAUGCACAAUAAAGAAGAUUCUUAGCUUUUGCAUUUAAGGAUAAUUUUCUCUUAUCUUCUUCAUCAUAUUCUUCCCUAGGUUUGGGAAUGACUUGGUCGGGUUGGCCAUCUAUCUUAAUAGUCUUAGUAGGUAUAUACAGCCCAUAUUCAAUCACUUCCCAAAUGUUGUAAUCUAUGGAUUGAAUAUAAAUCGUCAUUCUAGCCUUCCAAUAAUUGUAAUGUGUUCCAUCAAAGAAGGG